GACGAACGCUGGCGGCGUGCCUAAUACAUGCAAGUCGAGCGGACUUGACAGAGCUUGCUCUGUUCAAGUUAGCGGCGGACGGGUGAGUAACACGCGGGCAACCUGCCCUGCAGAUUGUGAUAACUCCGGGAAACAGGGGCUAAUACCGAAUAACAUUGAAAACCUCAAGGCUUUCUUUUAAGAGGCCGCGUCGGCUGUCACUGCAGGUAUGGCCCGCGGCGCAUUAGCUAGUUGGUGAGGUAACGGCUCACCAAGGCAACGAUGCGUAGACGACCUGAGAGGGUGAUCGGCCACACUGGGACUGAGACACGGCCCAGACUCCUACGGGAGGCAGCAGUAGGGAAUCUUCCGCAAUGGACGAAAGUCUGACAGAGCAACGCCGCGUGAGUGAAGAAGGUUUUCGGAUCGUAAAACUCUGUUGUUAGGGAAGAACAAGUAUCGGAGUAACUGCCGGUACCUUGACGGUACCUGACCAGAAAGCCACGGCUAACUACGUGCCAGCAGCCGCCGUAACAC
rnacentral:rRNA from 1 species